UACGAAGGGGGCGAGCGUUGUUCGGAUUUACUGGGCGUAAAGGGCGCGCAGGCGGCGUAUCAAGUCAGGCGUGAAAUCCCCGGGCUUAACCUGGGAAUGGCCUAUGUGACUGGCAGGCUAGAGGAUGGCAGAGGGAGGCGGAAUUCCACGUGUAGCAGUGAAAUGCGCAGAUAUCGGGAGGAACACCAAUGGCGAAGGCAGCUCGCUGGGACGUGACUGACGCUGAGGCGCGAAAGCGUGGGGAGCAAACAGG
rnacentral:rRNA from 1 species